rnacentral:tRNA from 1 species
UUGGAUGGACCUUAAUAUAGUCCCAUAAACA